UGGGGGAUAUUGCACAAUGGGCGAAAGCCUGAUGCAGCGACGCCGCGUGGGGGAUGAAGGCCUUCGGGUUGUAAACUUCUUUUGCUCUGAACAAGGCAUGCCUUUGGGGUGUGUUGAGUGUAGGGGUUGAUUAGCGCCGGCUAACUACGUGCCAGCAGCCGCGGUAAUACGUAGGGCGCGAGCGUUGUCCGGAAUUAUUGGGCGUAAAGGGCUUGUAGGUGGCUGGUUGCGUCUGUCGUGAAAGCUCAUGGCUUAACUGUGGGUUUGCGGUGGGUACGGGCUGGCUUGAGUGAAGUAGGGGAGGCUGGAAUGCCUGGUGUAGCGGUGGAAUGCGCAGAUAUCAGGAGGAAUACCGGUGGCGAAGGCGGGUCUCUGGGCUGUUACUGACGCUGAGGAGCGAAAGCGUGGGGAGCGAACAGG
rnacentral:rRNA from 1 species